CCUACGGGAGGCAGCAGUGGGGAAUAUUGGACAAUGGGCGCAAGCCUGAUCCAGCAAUGCCGCGUGUGUGAAGAAGGCCUUCGGGUUGUAAAGCACUUUUAUCAGGAGCGAAAUACUACCGGUUAAUAACCGGUGGGGCUGACGGUACCUGAGGAAUAAGCACCGGCUAACUUCAUGCCAGCAGCCGCGGUAAU
rnacentral:rRNA from 1 species